UUUCCCAUUCUGCAUAUGAAAAAGCAAAUGCCAAAUUAAGUACUCUUUGUAAAUGGAAUUAAAAAUCACCUCUGUUUAUACGCAUGGGAUAAAACAAUAUUGGGCCACUGCAGGUUGAGGUGAAGCGUUUCAUCUCUUCUGCAUGGUCUAGACAUUG